UACGGGGGGGGCAAGCGUUGUUCGGAAUUACUGGGCGUAAAGGGCUCGUAGGUGGCCAACUAAGUCAGACGUGAAAUCCCUCGGCUUAACCGGGGAACUGCGUCUGAUACUGGAUGGCUUGAGUUUGGGAGAGGGAUGCGGAAUUCCAGGUGUAGCGGUGAAAUGCGUAGAUAUCUGGAGGAACACCGGUGGCGAAGGCGGCAUCCUGGACCAACACUGACACUGAGGAGCGAAAGCCAGGGGAGCAAACGGGG
rnacentral:rRNA from 1 species